rnacentral:tRNA from 1 species
GCCGGUGCCGUAGCAGCGUCAUACUUCGCUAGGGGCGAUGGGGUCGUGGGUUCGAAUCCCACCCGUCGGCC